rnacentral:lncRNA from 1 species
CCCCCAGAGCCAGAUAUGCUGGUGGAAAAAUUACUGUCCUAAAUUCACACCACCUUCUCAUGCAGUUUGGAGGUGAAUGUUAUUAGCAAUGAAGUUCAAAAAUGAUCACCCAAAUUAGUAGCAGGCCAAAUCAGUUGCAUUAAGUUAGAUGAGCUGUUUACAUUGUUUAAGCCAGAUUAAUUGCUUUUGCCUGAUUUAGGACACAAUUGUGCGUCAGCAAAUUAACAGGGCUGAUAACUGCUAGCUGAUGGGUAGUGACAGUGCCUUGGGAUGAGAACUUCUGUCCUCACCAUGUGAAUCUGAAAGAGGUGUGUAUCUGUUGUUUAAGAUGGAAGAGGGAUAGUAGUAAACACCUUCAGUCAUGUUUAAGUGAGGUGUAGCUAUGCCCUUAGGGCUUUGAUAGACAAGCUGUAGGGAACUUUGCUGUGUCUGUGCUCACCUCUCCUUUCCAGCUCUCUACCAAAAGCUGUCAUCUGCACAACAGUGUCUGCAGAAAGGGACCCUUUGCUUCAGCCACCUCCAUGCAAAACCUGUCUUCGUAGCCUAGACUGGCAACAACGUGAGGCUGUGCUACAGUACUGUGAACUGCAGCAACUCAGGUCACUCUUCCAUCCAGAAUUGUUACAAAAGGCUGAAGUCUUAGAGAAGUUUGGAACCUGAAUAUCAAACAGAAAGGCUCARCUUGGAUCAGUUGUAAUAUUUUGUAGAGAGAGGCAGCUGAUUUUCUGGGCUGUUGGAAACUCAUUCCUCUUACACAUGUAACUUUUGUGUGCAUCUAAUUUUGGAUCAAAUGGCUUUCCAUCAAAUUCUUCUUCUAGACUGGAAAUACCCUUGGGCAUUAAUAACGUAGUAAUGUGGCUUAACCUCUGACCCUCAAAGGAUAUUGGUAAGCUUUGUAAAGAGAAACUAUAUCUAGCAUCAGGCUACAUGAUUAUAUGGGCUAGAAAUUCUGGGUCUAAUUCUCCCCUCCCUUUCACACUUUAUAARUGUGUACGCCACAUAAGACACUUUGCACGUUGCGUAAAACAAUGGACAGUAUUUGUCUAAACUAUGUUGCUUCAAAAUCCACUAUUAUACAGGCUUUAAUGAGWGUUUAAAAAUAUAAAAAGGAGUUUGUGUCUAGUAUAGGCAGGACAGAUGGACUGUUUGCUACAGUUUUAUUUAUGAGAAGAGAACUGCAUAAGGGUCAUGUAUCGUAGAGCAGCCUUACUGAGUCAACAAAGGUCAGGUUAUCAGCUGGUGUGUUCUGGUGAAGAC